AAGGGAACGCCGGCGGGGAAGAAGCAGGACAGAUCCGGCACAGGUAUGUGUGCGGCCGGAUCUACAGGGGGGGGCGCCGGCAGCAUGAAGAUGCAGGUGGGGCGGAGGGGGAAGGUGCCGGAUUCGUCAGCGGGUACAACGUCAUCUAUGGCUCGAGCUCUAACCUUGCGAUUCUUAGUGUUUUUUAAGCAUGGGUGCUGUGAUUUCGUUUCUUGGUUUUUUAAACAUGGUGCUGUGAUUUCGUUUCUUGUUUCUUUAAUACUGGAUCUGGUAAGGUCUUUGGCUCUGGAUACACUAGUAUGUGGUUAGCUUUUCAUGGCCAUGAUUUUUUUUCUUUAUUUCUGUGAUGUCCAAUUUUCUUCAGAAAUUCAAUGUCAGUUGUGAUCAUCAAUGAGUACUUUUGCUGGUCUUUGCUUUUUGUUGAGGUGCCCCCUUUUGAUCUUCACUGCAGUUACAGAAAAAUGUUCAUAAACCAGUGAGAUUUUGUGAUGUCUUGAGGAAUCCAUUUAACUUUGAUAGUCGAUGCUUCAUCCUGCUGGAACUUAAUAAUGGUUUUGAUGAUUUGUUCUUGAUGUGCUAAUCUAAGGCUAAUAAUUAUUUCAUUUGAGUAGGGUAAAGUUUGAAUCCGUACCACUGAUUGCAAAGAUCUGAGUGGGAAAGAAUGUUGUACUAUUUUGAUUCAUGUAACUCUGUUGACAUUUUUCUGAAGAACACCUCAUGAAGGGUGUUCGUGCCUUUCUGUGCAAUUAAACAAAAAGAAAAGUUUAGCCAGUUUCCGUGAUUAAUCUGUUCAUUUCGGUGGAUAACUAAGCUGGCUGAAGAAAUAAAUUUCCCCAUUGCCAAGUCCUUGUAAAUUAAAUUAGCUAUAAUUAGCAGAACUGUCAGAAGGUGUGCCUUCAUUGGUUUGGAUUUGGACAAUUAGCUGAUUACCUUUUGAUUGCUGUGUUAUAUCUAGCAUGAUGCUAUAAUAAAUGUGUUUUAGUUUUUGCCUCUGCUGUAUAGUUAUGGCAUAUCCUAGUCAGAUACAGUAUAAUUUAUGUUAAUGUGUUUUGCUUCAUUUUCUGGAAACACUAGGGUUGUUUCUCAUGCAAAUGUGUUUAUGUGAUUAUUCUCAGACUGCUAAUAGGCACUCCAAAAGGAGAUGGAGCUUAAUCCCAAUCGCGAGAGUGCUCUACAACAUACGUCGACAGGAGAGAUGGCUCAUUGAUUAACCCAUCUGGCUACUUAACCGCAUCCGUACAUGAAGAUGCAAUCUGUUCUUUGUGUUCUUGAGCAGCUUUGGGAGGAGGAGGAAUUAGCAAGGAUGAGCGGCAGUGGCAAUAUGCUUGCGUGAGUGAGAUGCCAUGUGGUUUCAUAAGUGAGCACUAGGCAUGUCUGAUGUAAAAAGGGUGUUGAUUAAAGAGACCAUAGUGCUUUAACAUAAUCUUGACACAAAUUACCUAUCCUGGAAUUUGUCCGUGGUGGUGCUGAGGAAUAAAAUGUCACCACUUGUUCAUUAACACUCACAAAACAUGCUAAUUGUUGGAUGUUACACUGUCUGAGCUUGAUGGUUGGAUCCCAAGUAAAAAAAUUGGGUGCUAGUGGAUAGAG
rnacentral:lncRNA from 1 species